CUACCUGCCGCCCGGGGUGCCCCGGCCCUGGAGCAGGCCCGCGUCGCACUUGGGACGUGUAGGGACGGCUGCCUUCAAGGGCCAGGUGCCCUCAGGCGCCACAGGCAGCAGUACCUGUCCAAAGAUCGCUUUAGUUCCACCUUGCUCCACAAGCAGCACAGCCACACUGGUUGGUGAGAAUGUAUCUGAAGAAGAGGCUCAGGGAAUAAAUGGGAACAGGCCAGCAAAACACUCAGCUGCAAGUCCAAAGCCACAAGCUCAUUAUCAAAUUAUAGUGAUUUGAAGAAAGAGUCUGCUGUGAACUUAAGUGCUCCUAGAACCCCAGGAAGGCAUGGAUUGACAACCACACCUCAACAAAAACUCCUCUCCCAGCACUUGCCACAGAGGCAGGGAAAUGAUACAGAUAAGACUCAGGGUGCACAGACUUGUGUGGCCAACGGUGUAAUGGCAGCACAAAACCAGAUGGAAUGUGAGGAGGAGAAAGCUGCCACUCUUAGCCCAGAUACUUCUAUUCAAGCUUCUGAACCCUUGCUUGAUAUGCACAUAGUG
rnacentral:sRNA from 1 species